rnacentral:rRNA from 1 species
UGGGGAAUCUUGCGCAAUGGGCGAAAGCCUGACGCAGCAACGCCGCGUGCGGGAUGAAGGCCCUCGGGUUGUAAACCGCUUUCAGUGGGGACGAACCAAGACGGUACCCACAGAAGAAGGUCCGGCCAACUAUGUGCCAGCAGCCGCGGUAACACGUAGGGACCAAGCGUUGUCCGGAUUCAUUGGGCGUAAAGAGCUCGUAGGCGGUUCAGUAAGUCGGGUGUGAAACCUCCAGGCUCAACCUGGAGACGCCACCCGAUACUGCUGUGACUAGAGUCCAGUAGGGGAGCGUGGAAUUCCUGGUGUAGCGGUGAAAUGCGCAGAUAUCAGGAGGAACACCAGCGGCGAAGGCGGCGCUCUGGGCUGGAACUGACGCUGAGGAGCGAAAGCGUGGGGAGCGAACAGGAUUAGAUACCCUGGUAGUCCACGCCGUAAACGUUGGGUACUAGGUGUGGGGUCUUAUCAACGGAUUCCGUGCCGAAGCUAACGCA